CAAAAAAACUGAUUAAAAAAAGUUUGGAGAAGUCGUUCAAACCCGAUUAGCUACUUAGCUACAAUUUUUUGGAGCCUUGCUCACAUCAAUCACAGCCGCACCGGUUUCUUUGGACAAGUGUCUACUGGGUCCUAACGAUGGGGUGUAGCUCGAGUCGAGGAAUGGAGGUUGUGGAUGCUACCAAGCAGCCCAAAGACAGGCCCGGAUCAGCCAGCUCCAAGUCAUCAGACGAGGGAGAUGAAAAGAAUUUGAGGAAAGGAAAGCAAGAAAAAGCUAAAGGGAAAGAGAAAGAUGACAAGAACUGAUGAACCCCUCCAUCUUCAAUCCAUCUGCUCACGUUUCAGCAUAUUUUAAGUCUCCAGCUCGUUCUCCUCCCCUGUAGAAGAUUCCAGAUCCACUCUCCCGCUCUGAUCAUCUACUCUGAUACUCUACUCACAUAUUCAUCUGAAAUCACUCAACUGAUACCACCUAAUCAUACAACAGCACUUCAUGCCUCAUUAUCCAACUUUAAUCAUGUAUUUGUCAAAUAAUUAAAUGAACUAAAAUAAAUGAAGCUG
rnacentral:lncRNA from 1 species